GGGGAUUUAGCUCAGCGGUAGAGUGCUUGCCUAGCGGGUGCAAGGCCCUGGGUUCGAUCCCCAGCUCCG
rfam:Rattus norvegicus chromosome 7, whole genome shotgun sequence.